rnacentral:lncRNA from 1 species
ACACACACACACACUCACAAGGUAUGGAGCUAAUGAGUGAGUGAGCCGAGGCCCAAAUCCGGGCAACACCGCUCCAUAGAUCGCUUUGGAUCCCAGCGCUGUCUCUCAUCUAGGCUCAGCGUCAGGAACUCCCCACAGUGGCUUGAGUUGUGCUGAUUCUUUAUGGUUCUGCUCUGAAGUUCCGCGUGUCGCAAAUCAUCUAAACAUAUCCAGGAAAUAGAAAUAGGUAUGGUUACUGAAGGGCCUCCCCAAAGUAGGUCCACUCCAGGGAAACAAAACAAUAAAAAACCGCUGAAAGACAGGUCACCUGACUACACAGCAAGUAUCCAGCAUGAACAGCUGUACAAGCCCGCUCCUGUGACUUGUGCUUCCUCCUAGCCUGGUGCGUGGUUUCCAACAAUGAGUGUCCCUAGAGAGGCUGAGCCACUUCCAAGUCAACCUGGAUCCUGUACAUCAUCGUCUCUGUAAUAUUCCAUUCGAGAAGCUGAUGUUGAAAGGACAGUAUAAACCCCAUUUGGCUCCAUUUG